UGGUUGACAAAUGUCAUCGUAUCCCAAUUGCGGAGAUCGAUGCUCAUGCUGUUGAUCCCUUGAUUGUCUGGUCCAGACACGAUGUUUAAUUACAGACCGUUGCCACAUAGGUG